GCACUUGGGAAGUUUCUGAAAAAUCCGCGAAGUGAAGAGAAUUUUCUUUGCCGUCUGGGAUGUGUCAAGUGGUCUUCUUGAUCAGAAAUUCAAUUACAUCGACAUCAGAGGAACCGUAGAUCUAUAUCCAUGGAUUAUCUCCAUCUUCACAACCUUGAAUUACUAAGAGCUACCUUUGCCAAGACGUGGGCUACUUGAUGCUAAAAAUCCAUCAGAAUCUUACGAGGAUGGGCCACUUCGAGAUCGGUAUCGACUGUCAAAAGAAACCGACAUGUACGUCAUCAAUAUGCUGGAAGUUGAAUUGAAGAGGGACACACAGAAGAAUGAUCCACUUCCUGUUUAUUUGCAGGCGUUGACAACUCUCCGUUUUUAUGCAGUGGGAUCAUUUCAAAAGAUGCAUGAUGAUGAGGCAGCAAUAUCGCAGUCAUCAAUGUGUCGGAUCAUCAAAGAUGUGUCGGAAGCUAUACAAUUCCUUUGACAAGAGAAGAAGUUGAAGCAACUCAGCCACAGUUCUACCAGUAUUGUUAGAUUUCCAGGAGUGAAAGGUGCAAUUGAUGGGACACAUGUCUACAUCAAGAGCCCAGGGGGGGGGGGAGGGGGAUUGGGCCAUAUGCUUCCUAUAUACCCCAUUCCAAAUUCAUGUGGAGAGGAAUGCCUAUAACAAUGGCAAAAGUAUUAAGAACAUAGAAAAGCAGAGUUCAUUCAAAUUUAUGAAGAAUACUUUACUUCUUUAUUUGUUAAUAAAUUGAUUGGUAUAACCCUGUGAUUCCAGCAGCUUAGCUUCAGCAACCUCUCUUUCUUUAUUCAAAACGUCAAUUCAUAGUUCAUGCUCCUUCAAGCUCAUAUCGUGCUCUUUCAAUCUCAUAUUGUGUUCUUUCACUCUCAUCUUGUACUCUUUAAAGUCGAGAUCAUGCUUCUUCCAUUGAACUUCAAUUCUAACGGCAUGCACUUCUACCAGCUCAAACACUUCUGACAGAUGAUCCUUUUUUCCUUGAGAUGGGUAAUUCAAAUUCCAUUUUGCAGAAGAAGGAAGGUUUGUAGUAUUGCUGCAGGGUUAAAAUUCAAUAUUGAAGUACCAGUACAUAACAUAUAGUAACAGUGCAGUUUGUAAGAAACAUACUAUAAAUCACGUUGUCAAAGAUGUGUUGUUUAACGUACUAGUAACUCUCUACUUGAUUGGUUCAGCUUCUGACACCAAUGACAUUGGGGAGUUCUCUGAUUGUUCUCAGAACCAUAAAUUGAAUUUUGGAAAACAUUAAAGACUUACCCGGUAAUUAUAAAAUUUCUUUAAAAACAGAAAAUAAUGCAAUGCUUUCUUUUCAGAAGCAUACAAUAUUCAGUGCACAGUUCAUUGAAUCGCUUGAAUCUGGUAACAUACAUAUAUUGAAGCCCUUUUCAUACUUCAAAUUAUUCACCCUCCCAGUUCAGUUAUAUAAAUCCCUCUUCACCUCUAAAUAUCGUACUACAUAUCUGUAGUAUAUUCAGAUUAUUUUGUGUGUACCAGUGUAUUGUGCAUCCAAUUAACAUGAUCUUGUAAUUAAAUGUACAUGUACUUGAUUUGGGGAUCAUGUUUAAUUUGUUAAAGUAUUUAACAUCUAUUUCAACUACAUCUGAUUUAUGAGUCUGGUCAAAGAGAUAUUCUGGCAGAAAGGGUUAAUGGAAAAAAAGGCAUUGUAAUUUUAAUGGUACUAAAUUACCUUGAAGAGGAAUGUGAUUUUGAAGAAGGUCCAUCAGUCUGGGAACGUUUCCUUGAUAACUCGGACAGAAAUGAAUUUGUAGAAUUUGUCCUCGUGGUGAAAAAAAUAGAUGAACUUCUGUUCUUAUGCUGGUUUAUAAAUUUCAACAAUGUGUCUCAUUCAUCUCAGUUGGGAGGGUUUUAUUAUUUUGUUUCAAGGAAAGUGAUGAAUACUCUUGAUCAUGUAAUUAUAUUAUGAUUUGGGAUUUUUUUUUUUUGAGAGGUCCACUUUGUGAGAUAGCUUUUAUUCAAAAUUAGCUUAAACUGGACAUGGAGUUUUCAUAUUUGCAAUCAUUAUUUGUGUAUUAAUUGCAACAAGCAUAAAAAAGAAGAAAGAAUGACCUUUCAUUUUGUGAGGAUGCAGUUCUUAAUUUAAGAAAUCUUUAUUUCAAUAGGUUAUUAAAUGUAUUUUUGUUUCAUAAAAUAUUUAAAAGAUAAAUGUUCUUUAUACGGUUGAUUUAUUCAGAUAUGUCUUCAGUCAAUGAUGGAUUUGAAGUUGGGGAGACAGGAUGUUUGAUUAGGUUUUAUUUAAAUUUCUUAUACGCAAGAGUAGUUUUAUUUAUAAUUAUGUAUUGCAAUAAGGAUUAAGAAUGCAAUUUUAUAGUGCUUGCUUAAAAGGAUUUUCACUAGUAGGAAAAUUGUAUUCUGCACUUUUAUGAUUUGUGAUAAGUACCCCCUUUUAUAUAUAUAUAUAUUUUAUGGGGGGAGGAUGUCAGAUAUAUUGUCAGAAAUAUUCACCUAGAAUGGGGAAAUGAAAUCGGAGUACAUGCAUUUGGUUGAUUGGGUGGUGUAACUUGAGGCAGUGCUGGAUUUGAAGUUGCCGUAUUUCAUGGUUGAGGGAAAUAAGAAAGAUGACUGUUUAAUUAUGUGGAAUACUUGAUAUUUAUAUAGAUUUUUAAAGAAAUGCAUAAUUGAUCUGAACAAACUUAUUAACAUAAUUUGGUAUGUAUGAAAAUGAAUUCAUUGGAGAAUUACAAAUUAAUUUUAAAAAAUCAAUUUAAAAAAUAAAAUCUUUUUUUUUAUUAAUGUCAACACAGUUACAAAAAAAGGCGUGAAGGGAGUGAAGUCAUAGUAGAUGCACUGGCUUUGCUAGGUGUUAUUGGAACUUGAUCUGUACAUGACCUGCAAUGUUUUUUUUUUUUUGGGGGGGGGGAGAAGCAUUAUUGUUUAUUGGAUUAAUACAUUACAUGUACUGAGAAUAUUAUAUGCCUAUAGAAUAUACACUCUAAUGAAUUUGACAUUUGAAAAUAUUUCCAUUAUAAAUUUAUGCCAAGGUAUUCUGUUGUACAAUCAUUAAAACAGGAAAUAAUUUUAUGAUUGAA